AUUGAACGCUGGCGGCAUGCCUUACACAUGCAAGUCGAACGGUAACAGGUCUUCGGAUGCUGACGAGUGGCGAACGGGUGAGUAAUACAUCGGAACGUGCCUAGUAGUGGGGGAUAACUACUCGAAAGAGUGGCUAAUACCGCAUGAGAUCUACGGAUGAAAGCAGGGGAUCGCAAGACCUUGUGCUACUAGAGCGGCCGAUGGCAGAUUAGGUAGUUGGUGGGAUAAAAGCUUACCAAGCCGACGAUCUGUAGCUGGUCUGAGAGGACGAUCAGCCACACUGGGACCGAGACACGGCCCAGACUCCUACGGGAGGCAGCAGUGGGAAAUUUUGGACAAUGGGCGCAAGCCUGAUCCAGCAAUGCCGCGUGCAGGAUGAAGGCCUUCGGGUUGUAAACUGCUUUCGUACGGAACGAAAAGCCCCGGGUUAAUACCCUGGGGUCAUGACGGUACCGUAAGAAUAAGCACCGGCUAACUACGUGCCAGCCGCCGCCGUAA
rnacentral:rRNA from 1 species